GACGAACGCUGGCGGCGUGCUUAACACAUGCAAGUCGAACGGACAGACCCUGCUUUUGUGGGUUGCUCGAGUGGCGCACGGGUGAGUAACACGCGAGUAACCUGCCCUUGUCUUUCGGAUAACUCCAGGAAACUGGGGCUCAUACCCGAUAGGAGCUCCUGCAGCACGGGGGGGGUUGGAAAGAUUCGGCGGUUGUGGAUGGACUCGCGGCUUAUCAGCUUGUUGGUGGAGUAGUGGAUUCCCAAGUGUUUGACGGAUAGCCGGCCUGAGAGGGGGACCGGCGACAUGAGUACUGCGGUACGGACCAGAAUCGUACGUGAGGCAGCAGGGGGGAAUAUGGCAGAGUGGGGGGAAGCGUGAGACAGAGACGCCGCGUGCGUGAUGACGUCCUUCGGGUUGUGAACCGCUGUCGCCUGUGACGAAGCGUGAGUGACGGUAAUGGGUAAAGAAGCACCGGCUAACUACGUG
rnacentral:rRNA from 1 species